GGUCCCCUUGCAUUUGUACGGUCUCUUCUUAUUUCAUUCUCAAUGGAGGACUACUUAAGGAUCCAAUUCUUAGCCUAAAACAUGCUUUAAUCUUUACAUUUUCUUUUCUUUUUCUCAAGAACAAUAGAAAUAUGGAUCUUGUGGAAAUCAUCAAAUGAUUUGGUUCAGAUUUUUAAGCUCAAGUGGUGCUUCUCUUGUUCCAUAUUUCUUGAUUUUCUUUUUCAUAUCCUUUCUUCCUGACUCUGAAUCGCCUUCUGAUUAGCUUCUGUUCACUUUCCUUUAAUUCCGGGGUAGUUGGCAAUUUUUGGAAAAUGGGAGGAGUUCUAAUUGCAAGAUUCAUACAAGUUUGCUAUUGUUUCCUUUUUUUUUCCCAACUUAAAUCAAUUGUGGGUAUUAUGACAAGAUGCAGAAUUAAGAUGUUUUUGAUUUAGUAUGGGAUUAUUGUUGUGACCCCCAUUGUUUUUUGCUUGCUCCUUUCUAUACUCGAAUCAUCACUCAACCAUGUAACAAUAUGUCGAAUGCAUAUAAUGUGGAUAAGGGACGUUCAAGCUUCUCAUGCUUUGUUUCGUUUCUUAUCUCAGCUGUCCAAAAUUGCACAAAUUUGAUUCUAGUUGCUUUAAUCUAUAAUUUAAAUAUUAUGGAAUUGAUAAUAUCUUUAUAAUAUUUGAUCAUGUGACCUUCCCUUUUUAUAUUUGAUCUUGGAUUUAUGUUGGUUUUCUUUAUUAUAACAUUUUAUUCUUCUUAAGCUUGUUGAACUUCUGUUUCAAUGAAAAUUUAUCCAGAAACAUCUUGCCUUAUGCUUUAUAAAUGUUUUGCUUCUUGAACUGUAAAAUUCAAUAAAUUUUUACAUUCUUCUCACUGAUCCAACUGAGGGAGACAAGGGAGAAGAAGAUAAAUGGCAGAAGUUCUAUUCCUGCUGAACAAAUAUCAUUGAAGAAGAAAUUGAGAACCUUCUGUUGGUUGGGAUUACUGUUCUUGGACUACUAACGAUUUAAUUUCAUCUUCUUUGUGUGUAGUAAUAGCGGCCUCUAUGAACUCAAGAUAGGAAGUAUUGCUGCCUAUGAAGCCAAUUAAAUCAUGGGACACGCUGUUCAGAAAAAGGAAUCUAUUCUCUGAUGGGGGAAAAUACGGCUUCAAAAUGAAGCAGCUGCCAUUUAUGGGUGUUAUUUGUUCUGUAAUGCUGUUCAUUGUAUACAGAACUACAAAUUACCAAUAUCAUCAGACUAAGAUUGAAACAACCUUGCAACCCUUUGAGACCACAAAGGACUUUGGAGAGGAGUCUCAAAACUUGAAUAGUUUGCCGCGUGGCAUAGUAGAAGCUAGAUCAGAUUUGGAGUUGAGACCUCUUUGGGGAACUAGUAGUUCAAGGUUAAAGGCUCAUGAUUACAGCAACCGUUAUUUGCUUGCAAUUCCAGCUGGCAUCAAACAGAAGGAAAAUGUUAAUUCUAUUGUACAGAAAUUUAUUCCAGCGAACUUUACUAUUAUUCUCUUUCAUUAUGAUGGCAAUGUGGAUGGAUGGUGGGAUCUUGACUGGUGUAAUGAUGCUAUACAUAUAGCAGCUCGAAACCAAACGAAGUGGUGGUAUGCAAAGCGCUUUUUGCAACCGGCAGUUGUGUCCAUUUACGAUUACAUAUUUCUUUGGGAUGAAGAUUUGGGGGUUGAACAUUUUAGCCCAAGAAGAUACCUUGAAAUUGCAAAGUCUGAAGGACUGGAAAUAUCUCAGCCUGCCUUGGACCCAAAUUCAACUGAUAUUCACCAUAGAAUUACCAUUCGUGCACGAACAAAGAAGAUACACAGAAGAGUUUAUGAUCUCAGAGGCAGUGUGAAAUGUUCAGAUGAAAGUGAGGAGCCACCUUGCACUGGAUUUGUAGAAGGUAUGGCCCCUGUAUUCUCAAGAUCGGCCUGGUAUUGUACUUGGCAUCUUAUACAGAAUGAUCUUGUCCAUGGAUGGGGAAUGGAUAUGAAACUUGGGUAUUGUGCACAGGGUGAUCGCACCAAGAAGGUGGGAGUAAUUGACAGUCAAUAUAUUGUUCACAAGGGAAUACAAACUUUGGGUGGAGGUGGAAGAAAGUCUAAGUCGUCUUCAAAAGCUUCAGAGUAUGCAAAGAAACAUAGCCCGAUACCUGGUGAUGUUCGAACAGAGGUUAGACUUCUGAUAAUAAUUAUCAUUUUUCAGAACCAAGAUUAGCUUCUCAUUAUCAGUUCGAAUAUAUACGUAUAUAAUCAUUUUUUUUGGGACGGCGGGUGGCUGCAUCAGUGUGUUGAUAAGGAGGCAAUCAACAUGGGAACUUCAAAUCUUCAAACAACGAUGGAACAAAGCGGUAGCAGAGGAUGAGAGUUGGGUUGAUCCAUUCAAACGAAAUUCAUUAAAAAGUGACCAAAGGCGGAGGA